rnacentral:rRNA from 1 species
UACGAAGGGGGGCUAGCGUUGCUCGGAAUUACUGGGCGUAAAGCGCACGUAGGCGGCUUUCUAAGUCGGGGGGUGAAAUCCUGGAGCUCAACUCCGGAACUGCCUUCGAUACUGGAAAGCUCGAGUCCGGGAGAGGUGAGUGGAACUGCGAGUGUAGAGGUGAAAUUCGUAGAUAUUCGCAAGAACACCAGUGGCGAAGGCGGCUCACUGGCCCGAUACUGACGCUGAGGUGCGAAAGCGUGGGGGAGCAAACAGG